GUGUUGAUAUUUGAGUUGUUUUAAAUAUGAAAAUCUAAAAUAAAAUAUAUUGAUAUCAAAAUAUGUUGUUUAAAAAAAUUACAAUGAAAAAAAGAAAUAAAAAAAUGACGUUUUUAUAGACAAAGAUGGGUUAAAGUUAUGAAAAAUAAAACAAAUAUUGAAAAUAACGUAGAGCUACUUUUGUAAGAAACAUGAAACCUAUUAGAUGGAUACAUGGCAAAAGAGCUAAGUUUGUUUUUUUACAUUAUAGGAUGGGUUGAAGCACUCUAAAUGCAUGACUUUGAAUUAAAAUGGCAUUUACAAUUACUUAUUACGUAACUACUGAUUGUAUUUUUUAAUCAUAGUAGCCUUUUCAAGGUGACUAUGUUUACUACACCAAAUCAUUAUUGAAAGAAUCAUUUAUCCUUAUUUCAUAUCUUUUUAUAAAAAAAUCAAAUAUAUGUGUUAAACAAUAAAAUAAGAGAAUAUGCGGAUUUUUUAUGAUUAAUUUAAUUGACUGAAAUUGUAAUGUGUUGAUAUUUGAGUUGUUUUAAAUAUGAAAAUCUUAAAUAAAAUAUAUUGAUAUCAAAAUAUGUUGUUUUAAAAAAAUUACAAUGAAAAAAAGAAAUAAAAAAAUGACAAUGAAAAAAAGAACUUAAAAAAUGACGUUUUUAUAUACAAAGAUGGGUUAAAGUUAUGAAAAAUAAGACAAAUAUUGAAAAUAACGUAGAGCUACUUUUGUUAGAAACAUGAAACCUAUUAGAUGGAUACAUGGCAAAAGAGCUAAGUUUGCUUUUUUACAUUAUAGGAUGGGUUGAAGCACUCUAAAUGGAUGACUUUGAAUUAAAAUGGCAUUUACAAUUACUUAUUACGUAACUACUGAUUGUAUUUUUUAAUCAUAGUAGCCUUUUCAAGGUGACUAUGUUUACUACACCAAAUCAUUAUUGAAAGAAUCAUUUAUCCUUAUUUCAUAUCUUUUUAUAAAAAAAUCAAAUAUAUGUGUUAAACAAUAAAAUAAGAGAAUAUGUAGAUUUUUUAUGAUUAAUUUAAUUGACUGAAAUUGUAAUGUGUUGAUAUUUGAGUUGUUUUAAAUAUGAAAAUCUUAAAUAAAAUAUAUUGAUAUCAAAAUAUGUUGUUUUAAAAAAAUUACAAUGAAAAAAAGAAAUAAAAAAAUGACGUUUUUAUAUACAAAGAUGGGUUAAAGUUAUGAAAAAUAAGACAAAUAUUAAAAAUAACGUAGAGUUACUUUUGUUAGAAACAUGAAACCUAUUAGAUGGAUACAUGGCAAAAGAGGUAAGUUUGCUUUUUUACAUUAUAGGAUGGGUUGAAGAACUCUAAAUGCAUGACUUUGAAUUAAAAUGGCAUUUACAAAUACUGAUUACUUAGCUAAUUUUUGUAUUUUUUCUCAUCAUAGUAGCCUUCUUGAGGUGACUAUGUUUACUACACCAAAUCAUUAUUGAGAGAAUCAUUUAUCCUUAUUUCAUACCUUUUUUAAAAAAAUCAAAUAUAUGUGUUUAACACUAAAACAAGAGAAUAUGUGGAUUUUUUAUGAUUAAUUUUAUUGACUUAAAUUCUAAUGUGUUGAUAUUUGAGUUGUUUUAAAUAUGAAAAUCUAAAAUAAAAUAUAUUGAUAUCAAAAUAUGUUGUUUAAAAAAAUUACAAUGAAAAAAACAAAUAAAAAAAUGACGUUUUUAUAGUCAAAGAUGGGUUAAAUUUAUGAAAAACAAGACAAAUAGUGAAAAUAACGUAGAGCUACUUUUGUUAUAAACAUGAAACCUAUUAGAUGGAUACAUGGCAAAAGAGCUAAGUUUACUUUUUUACAUUAUAGGAUGGGUUGAAGCACUCUAAAUGGAUGACUUUGAAUUAAAAUGGCAUUUACAAUUACUUAUUACGUAACUACUGAUUAUAUUUUUUAAUCAUAGUAGCCUUUUCAAGGUGACUAUGUUUACUACACCAAAUCAUUAUUGAAAGAAUCAUUUAUCCUUAUUUCAUA
rnacentral:lncRNA from 1 species